rnacentral:rRNA from 2 species
AUAGAUUUAGCAUUGAUACGAGUGGCGAACUGGUGAGUAACAUGUGUCUUACUGCCCUUGAAGUAGGGGAGAACACUUGGAAUAAGGUGCUAAUACCGUAUAACAACCAAAACCACCUGGUUUUGGUUUAAAAGACGGCUUCGGCUGUCACUUUAGGAUGGACAAGCGGCGUAUUAGCUUGUUGGUAAGGUAACGGCCUACCAAGGCGAUGAUACGUAGCCGACCUGAGAGGGUAAUCGGCCACAUUGGGACUGAGACACGGCCCAAACUAAUACGGGAGGCAGCAGUAGGGAAUCUUCCACAAUGGACGAAAGUCUGAUGGAGCAACGCCGCGUGAGUGAUGAAGGGUUUCGGCUCGUAAAACUCUGUUGUUGGAGAAGAACAGGUGUCAGAGUAACUGUUGACAUCUUGACGGUAUCCAACCAGAAAGCCACGGCUAACUACGUGCCAGCAGCCGCGGUAAUACGUAGGUGGCAAGCGUUGUCCGGAUUUAUUGGGCGUAAAGCGAGCGCAGGCGGUUUUUUAGGUCUGAUGUGAAAGCCUUCGGCUUAACCGGAGAAGUGCAUCGGAAACCGGGAGACUUGAGUGCAGAAGAGGACAGUGGAACUC